GGACGGCAUACAUAUCUUCCCCCUGACCCGAUUUGUUUUUUAAAUGGCCUGCUGUAAAUAAUCAGAGUACUGACUGGGUGAUCACAGCCCGGAGACACAGGCGAAGGCCUUCCAUCCAAAUGCCAGAGUAAAUGCGCUUGGAUUAUGCAUUCACGUGGUCAGUACGUCAACGUUUCCCCAUUUUAUACAGACUUUAGCAAUUGUUAAUUGAACUCUUCUUUUUUUGUGCAUGAACGUUGAAAUUCGGGCAUUUCAAAAACUUGUCGCUUUCUCGUGGAUGACGAAGGGCACUCCACGUUAUUCCUCCCGUAGAAGCUGUUUGCAAAGGUACAUGUUACUUGAAAACAAAAGCUGGUUUAAAGCAAGAGCUAUUUAUCAAAUUGCAAUUUACAAGUUUCAAGGAGAAUGCCAGGAGAUUGAGUUGAGGAAGUUUAAGCAGUCAACAUUGGAUGGACCUCAGUUUGGAAACUUUCAAAGUCGCGAGUAUAAUAGCUAAACACUGUUUGCCCAGAUCAUAAAUCAUGUGCACAUUCAUCUUGAGGAUAACACCCUAUCUAAAAAUGCUUUUGAAGCUUUUUGCACGAAUUCAGAGGUGUCAAUGGCCAUCAAAGGAGCAUUUUUUGGCAAAUGAAGAAAAUCGACAUCCCAAAGGCCUGCCAAUCAUAGAGCAACUGCGAGUUUUCGUCCUUUCCCCUCUUCAUUUACAAGCAUAGAACCAAUAUUCAGAGAUGAAGGAAACAGAUUAUGUGCCACAUUCUUUUAAGCCAUAUAAACUUUGUCAAACUAUUCCAUGGCGUUUUACCCUUAGUUCAUAUAACAAUGCAUAUGAAUAGAACAUGUAUAAAUCUAACCAGUACAAAAGAACAAAGCUGGACGUAGUAUUUUUUUA